rnacentral:lncRNA from 1 species
UUUCUCAAAAAAAACACAAUUUCUAAUAGGGAUUCACGACCCAAAUAUCAAAAUCAUGAUAAAUAUCGUUCAAGAUUCACGCUUUAUAUCUCCACACAUGUAAAUUUAUCUUUUAAACUCAUAAACAUCAAGAUUUCAUAAUAAUCAUCAUAAGAUAUGGGUUCAUGCUUCAAAUUCGUAAAAAUCAAAUAAAAAUCAUGCCUUUGUAAAGAAAAUUACUUUUGGGCACAAGAACGAAAGAGAGUUCUUCUUGAAAAACGCCACAUACCUUGAAUGAUGAACUUUAGAUAGAUACUCAUUUUUGAGAUGUUAAUCAUGCCUUUGAAUGAUGGUUCUUGGAGUUUUUGAACUAGGCACCUGGAAUCUU